UACGGGGGGGGCAAGCGUUGUUCGGAAUUACUGGGCGUAAAGGGCUCGUAGGUGGCCAACUAAGUCAGACGUGAAAUCCCUCAGCUUAACUGGGGAACUGCGUCUGAUACUGGAUGGCUUGAGUGUGGGAGAGGGAUGCGGAAUUCCAGGUGUAGCGGUGAAAUGCGUAGAUAUCCGGAAGAACACCUGAGGCGAAGGCGGCUUGCUGGGCAUGAUCUGACGCUGAGGCGCGAAAGCGUGGGGAGCAAACAGG
rnacentral:rRNA from 1 species